rnacentral:rRNA from 1 species
UGAGGAAUAUUGGACAAUGGGCGCAAGCCUGAUCCAGCAAUGCCGCGUGCAGGAUGAAGGCCUUCGGGUUGUAAACUGCUUUUGUACGGAGCGAAAAGGUCUGCCCUAAUACGGUGGGCUCAUGACGGUACCGUAAGAAUAAGCACCGGCUAACUACGUGCCAGCAGCCGCGGUAAUACGUAGGGUGCGAGCGUUAAUCGGAAUUACUGGGCGUAAAGCGUGCGCAGGCGGUUAUAUAAGACAGAUGUGAAAUCCCUGGGCUCAACCUGGGACCUGCAUUUGUGACUGUAUAGCUAGAGUACGGUAGAGGGGGAUGGAAUUCCGCGUGUAGCAGUGAAAUGCGUAGAUAUGCGGAGGAACACCGAUGGCGAAGGCAAUCCCCUGGACCUGUACUGACGCUCAUGCACGAAAGCGUGGGGAGCAAACA